rnacentral:rRNA from 1 species
UACGUAGGGGGCAAGCGUUGUCCGGAUUUAUUGGGCGUAAAGAGCGUGUAGGCGGCCAGGUAGGUCAGCUGUGAAAACUCGAGGCUCAACCUCGAGACGUCGGUUGAAACCACCUGGCUAGAGUCCGGAAGAGGAGAGUGGAAUUCCUGGUGUAGCGGUGAAAUGCGCAGAUAUCAGGAAGAACAUCCGUGGCGAAGGCGGCUCUCUGGGACGGUACUGACGCUGAGACGCGAAAGCGUGGGGAGCGAACAGG